rnacentral:rRNA from 1 species
CCUACGGGAUGCUGCAGUGGGGAAUAUUGCACAAUGGGGGAAACCCUGAUGCAGCGACGCCGCGUGAGUGAAGACGUAAUUCGUUAUGUAAAGCUCUAUCAGCAGGGAAGAAAAUGACGGUACCUGAGUAAGAAGCCCCGGCUAACUACGUGCCAGCAGCCGCGGUAAUACGUUGGGGGCAAGCGUUAUCCGGAUUUACUGGGUGUAAAGGAAGCGUAGACGGGAGUGCAUGUCUGGUGUGAAAGGCGGGGGCUCAACCCCCGGACUGCUCUGGAAACUGUCCGGCUGGAGUGCAGGAGAGGUAAGUGGAAUUCCUGGUGUAGCGGUGGAAUGCGUAGAUAUUAGGAGGAACACCAGUGGCGAAGGCGGCUUACUGGACUGUAACUGACGUUGAGGCGCGAAAGCGUGGGGAGCAAACAGGAUUAGAUACCCUUGUAGUC